UACGAAGGGGGCUAGCGUUGUUCGGAUUUACUGGGCGUAAAGCGCACGUAGGCGGAUCGUUAAGUCGGGGGUGAAAUCCUGGAGCUCAACUCCAGAACUGCCUUCGAUACUGGCGAUCUUGAGUCCGGAAGAGGUGAGUGGAACUCCUAGUGUAGGGGUGGAAUUCGUAGAUAUUAGGAAGAACACCAGUGGCGAAGGCGGCUCACUGGUCCGGUACUGACGCUGAGGUGCGAAAGCGUGGGGAGCAAACAGGG
rnacentral:rRNA from 1 species